rnacentral:lncRNA from 1 species
AGCUAGGGGUGGAAACGAGACGAGCUAGAGCGAGCUUAUGUCAGCUCAAAUUCGGCUUGAAAUUAAUUUCGAGCCUAAAUCUAGGCUCAAGCUCGGCUUGAAAUCAAUUCGAGCCGAGCUCGAGCGAGCCUAAUUUCGAGUCGAGCCGAGCUCGAGCUCUAAACGAGCCGAUUGAAAUUCUUGACAUUAUAUAAUCAAUAGUUUAAUUUUUAUAGAACAUUACCUACAAUUUGAUGCAACAUGUCCAAUAGUUCAAAAUACAAAAUAAUUAUAAGAAAUGUGAGUUAGGGUGACUUCCUGACUAGAUGAGGGUCUGAGAGAGAGAGAGAGAGGAAAAAAAGUAGGGAUUUGGAAAUUUGAAUGUUAUCAUAUUUUAGGGUUAUGUGCAACAGUGAAAGUCUGAAAGAGAGAGUGUGUUAUGUAAAUUUAGAGUUGGGCUCAAUUGUACGAUUAUACUUGUUGGGUUUAUUUUAUGGGCCAACAAUAAUGGCCCAAAUUAAAUUAAAGCCUAUAUAUAAUUAAAAUGGAUUAUAUUUAUAAAUAUCAUCCCCAUGUUGCUAUCACGUUUUUAGCCAUUGGAUCUACUUUUUUAUUACAAAUAGCCCUCGGAUCAAACACUUUUCCACCUACCACCACUUACCAUCAUCAUCUCAACCUCACAUCUCUCCAUCCAAGGGCUAAAAACACACAAGUAUCACUUGGGUGAUACUUGUAAAAGUAUUCAGCCGUUCAAUUUUAGACUACUUGUUUGAUAGGUAAAUGAUAUCGAAAAAUUAUGAAAUUUAGUUUCUAAAUACUUUCAAUAGUGUAGAUCAACUCUACCGGAGCCGAUCGUCGAUUUGGAAGCCACAUCAUCGAAAACAACUUGGUAGCACGGAGCGCUCCGUGCUACCGAUAGUAUAGUAGCCUAGCUCAUAUAUAGUAUGAUAUAUAUAUAUAUAUUAUAUAUAUAUAGUUAGAGUCCAGCUGCUAUACUUUUAUGAGUAUUGGCUCCUUUAUACUCAUAAGUUUUCGACCCUUAGAUUUAUUCAAUUAAUCAUUUUUAUCCAUUAGAGCAUACUAUUUAACCAACUACCACUCAAC